CUGGAUUAUAAAUAAACAUGUUCAUCUUUAAUUUUUAUUACUGUAUAAUACUUGUUAAAUUUACAGCUCUGCUGACGAUGUAUUAUUUAGAGCACUAGAGCACUAGUCUAACAGUGACGUACUUAUCAAUGGUAACCAAACUGUUGAGUAACAUUUUGAAGCUCUUAUGAAAACCAAAUCAAAACCUCAAUGUGAGAUGAUUACUGCAAACAUCUGUGUUACAAAAAUAUACUACAGGUGUGCAACACUUAAUUCAUGUUACUUUUGCAAAAAAAAUAAAAUAAAAAAAAUAAAACAUAAAGCUACCCCAUAUUAUAUAUGAAGGUAUUUAAUUUGCUUUUUUUUUUCUUUCUGUGACAGACUGUCUGACAUUAAAAUAUGACUAAAGUUGUAGCUUGUCACUUGUGUAACAAAGUCUACUAUGCACUCACUUAGAAUUGUUACUAUUUAGAAUUCAUCUGUAUCUUAACAAUAAUGAACAGGAAAUUUGUUUCACAUAAUAGUCAGGCCCUUAGAAAAACUAUUCCUACAAAACAAAGCUUCUCUUUUGUCUUGAAAUAUCAAAAGAGGAGGGACUAGAUCUGACAUGAUGUAGUUAUGUCUGACAGAGACUGUGGUAGAAAAGAUUCAUUCUGUCUCUUCUCAGAGUGAACACUUGUACAAUGGAUCUUCAUUCACUUAUUCUGUUCUGUCUCUCAACCGCUGCUGUCUUGGGAAAUGUCAUCAAACCAAACAAAAUUAAUGUUUUUGCUGAGGAGGGAUCAAGUGUUACAUUAUCCUGUAGUUUUACUGACUCUAGCUCUACAGAAUAUCUCCACUGGUAUCGUCAGUAUGGAAAAUCAAAACCUGAAUUUCUUGUACUCACGUAUGACACUAAAAAAGAUGCUCAGCGGUCUGAUGUAGAUCCAAGAUUCUCUGUUAAAAUUUCGAAAAGUCAGUAUGUGGAUCUGAAGAUCUCUUCUGCUGCUGUAUCAGACUCUGCUCUGUACUACUGUGCUCUGGUGCCCACAGUGACAGGAAACACAUCAGCCCUCUACAAAAACCUGUUACACUGAGAGACAAGAGAGAAACAGAAUUUUCUAAAAACAGCCACAUUUCUAAAAACAGCCACAUUUUAUUAUAGUAUGUGAAUUUGUGUGGCAAUUUUAAAGACACUUUACAUUAAAUCCCUACAAAACAAUCUUUUAUUUUACCAGUUACUUAUAAGUUAUCCUUCUGAAUAUUCUUAAACUCAGAAAAGAAUGAUCUUUAUUUACAUUGAUAUACUACGGUUUCAGUUUACGCAAUACUUGCAGCUAACCAGAAGAGGGCAGUAUGUAAUAAUACGUUCAACAAUAUAGCAGCUUUUAUAGGUCUCCAUAAGCUCCUCAUUGGAUCAUCUUUACAAUACCAAAAGCAAAUCUCUGUCUGAGGAAUAUAUUUCUCUUUGUAUUGUUUGCUUUUGGUAUGGAUUCUUUUUUAAUAAAGCUCAACAUUCAUGUAAGUUAAUUUUGUAU
ensembl:lncRNA